ACCAGGAUGGCCGAGUGGUUAAGGCAUUGGACUGAAGAUCCAAUGGAUGUCUGUCUACAUGGGUUCAGGCCCCACUCCUGGUA